AUACUUACCUGGCAGGGGAGAUACCUUGAUCAAGAAGGAGGUUCACCCAGGGCAAGGCUUGGCCAUUGCACUUCAGCUGUGCUGACCCCUGCGAUCAUAGUGAUGAUGUAGCGCUUUUCUGAAC
ensembl:snRNA U1 U1 spliceosomal RNA